AGCCCGCUUAGCUCAGCGGUUAGAGCAUCGCAUUUGUAAUGCGAUAGUCAUCGGUUCGAUUCCGAUAGCCGGCUU
rnacentral:tRNA from 3 species